ACCGGCAUCGAAGAACACGAUACCCGGCGGGCCGAAGAGCUGGAAGCGCUUGAGCAGCGCCCGGUCCGACUCGCUG
rnacentral:tRNA from 1 species